rnacentral:rRNA from 1 species
UACGAAGGGGGCUAGCGUUGCUCGGAAUUACUGGGCGUAAAGGGCGCGUAGGCGGCCAGCACAAGUCAGUUGUGAAAUCUCCGGGCUUAACUCGGAAAGGUCAACUGAUACUGUGCGACUAGAGUGCAGAAGGGGCAACUGGAAUUCUCGGUGUAGCGGUGAAAUGCGUAGAUAUCGAGAGGAACACCUGCGGCGAAGGCGGGUUGCUGGGCUGACACUGACGCUGAGGCGCGAAAGCCAGGGGAGCGAACGGG